UUUCGAUUCGACGCUUUUGUGUACGUCUCAUUACUAAAAUCCACUUGAUGCAUACGGACGUUUUUUGAGACGCGCGGCACAUCGUCCCUUGAUUUUCUGAUUAAAAAAAUCUGGGUGGUUCCGUAUAUUUUGUUCAACCACUGUCGCCCACUAAAAAUAACCCACCACGGCCGUACAUCGUGCGAUAUGGGCUAGGAAGAUAACUACUGUGAAAAAAGAGAUCGAUCUCUCACCUCUAAACCUAGCGCCACCAUGCCACGCCGCCUUCUCUGCCGAGCUCCUCUCCUUCCCACCCCGUACUCGCCAUCGUAGGUCCACCGCCCUGCGCUCGCCGGCCGCCAGCAGCAGCCCCGGGGACGCCAUCCUCCAGGCGGCGGCCCAGCCCAGUACGCCCGUCCUCCAGGCGGCGGCCCAGCCUCACGAACACGGUGAUUUUGGAGGCCAUAAGGGAUCCUGCGAUCGAGCGCACAAGGGCUGGUCACUAGAUCUUUAGCAAUAGCUUGGUCAGUUCAUCUAUAGAUUAUGGACACUCACGUAUGCAGGUGUUUGAUAAACAACCUCUGAGAAUACCCUGACAAUACAAGAUGUAUGUCUCUAUACUUAAUAUGGUUACAUGACAUCUACGAGACUAGAUUGAAUUUCUGCAGUGCAUGUUUACCUCGAUGUGAAAAAACGGAUUUUAAAGGCGGCAACCACAAGGAUAAACUAGAGAGGCAGAGAAAACAAGGAGCUAUUGUUCCAUUAUCAGCAUGUAGAUACUACAAGUCACAUAUGUUUGAACUAGUUUGUGAGACAUGUAAUUAUUUUAUAGACAAUGUGUACAAUUGAGUUUGUAAACUACUACUGGCUCCUUCUCACUGUAAUGGUGUAAUACAACAUUAUUAUUUUGUGCGAUGACAUACAAUUUUUUAAUAUA